rnacentral:rRNA from 1 species
AGGAUGAACGCUAGCGGGAGGCUUAACACAUGCAAGUCGAGGGGUAAAUGGUAGCAAUACUAUGAGACCGGCGAACGGGUGCGUAACGCGUAUGCAACUUACCUUAUGCAGGGGGAUAGCCCGUGGAAACGCGGAUUAAUAUCCCAUAGAUCAGUAAUAUCGCAUGGUAUAACUGGUAAAACUCAGGUGGCAUAAGAUGGGCAUGCGUCUGAUUAGCUAGUUGGUAGGGUAACGGCCUACCAAGGCGACGAUCAGUAGGGGUUCUGAGAGGAUUAACCCCCACACUGGUACUGAGACACGGACCAGACUCCUACGGGAGGCAGCAGUGAGGAAUAUUGGUCAAUGGGCGCAAGCCUGAACCAGCCAUCCCGCGUGAAGGAAGAAGGCCCUACGGGUUGUAAACUUCUUUUCUGUUUGAAGAAUAAGCUCGUCGAGACGAGUGAUGCCGGUAGGACAGGAAUAAGCAUCGGCUAACUCCGUG